rnacentral:tRNA from 2 species
GCGGGCAUGGUAUAAUGGUUCAUUACUUCAGCCUUCCAAGCUGACGAUGCGGGUUCGAUUCCCGCUGCCCGCUCCA